rnacentral:lncRNA from 1 species
UACAGUGUACCACACCAAGGAACUCCCACACUCUGAAUGAACAGCCCAGUGAUCAGGAGCUUUGAAUCAAUUCUUGGCACCUAACAGUUUGUGAAGAGUCUGCUAAACUCCCUCUAUCAGAAAUCCCAGAGGACUGAGAACAGGUCAUCCUUGGAGCUGUAUCUGAAUGGAGUCAGGAUCUGGAAGCCCAAGUCUCCUUGUCAAUGUCUGCUUGGUUCCCAAGGACACCUGUAAAUGGAAGAGGGGCAU